CAGGUUAUCUAUUAGUUAGGGUUUUCUUUUACAUUGAAAAUUUUUUUGUGCAAUUCAUUAUGACUUGA
rnacentral:tRNA from 1 species